CGAGUCUGUCCGUCUGGGAGAAACCCUAAAUCCCCGGGUUGCCCACUAUUUAAGCCACCUUAUAGCCCCCAAUCUCGCCUCCUUCACCCUCAAAAGCUGUGAGAAGACCCUAAUUCGUUCUUGAGUGAUUCUAAGUGAUUUUUGUGUGCAAUUGUGAAGGCUUGAAGAAGGAGAAGAAGAAAGGAACAAGGAGAAGGAUUGUAGAGCAGAGAUUCAAGGGAAAGCAAGAGCUCUUUGAGCCGGGGAGAUACCGGAGCAGCAGCAGUUAGCCCUCAGAGCUAUUCACUCAGCAGCCAGUUCACGAGUCAGCUUCGGACUUCGGUCUGAUGUCAGCUUCGGGCUUCGGUCCGAUGGAGGGGGCAAGGCCCAGUCAGUUAGCUUCGGACUUCGGUUCGAUGUGGGGGACAAGGUCCCAGUCAGCUUCGGACUUCGGUCUGAUGUCAGCUUCGGGCUUCGGUCCGAUGGAGGGGGGCAGGGCCCAGUCAGUUAGCUUCGGACUUCGGUCCGAUGUAGGGGACAAGGUCCCAGUUAGUCAGCUUCGGACUUCGGUUCGAUGGAAGGGGCCAGGCCCCAGUAUG